rnacentral:tRNA from 1 species
UCUAAUAUGGCAGAUUAAGUGCAAUGGAUUUAAGCUCCAUAAAUAAAGAAUUGUAUUCUUUUUUUAGAA